ACAGCUUAGACUUCGGUCUUUGCAAUUGCUUGGGUGUCGAAAGGCGCCCAAUCUUUAAAACUUUUAUAUUUGUUCUGAAACAAUGAAAAUUUAAAACUUUCAACAACGGAUCUCUUGGUUCUCGUAUCGAUGAAGAACGCAGCAAAGCGCGAUAGGUAAUGCGAAUUGCAGACGUGAGUCAUUGAAUUUUUGAACGCAUAUUGCGCUAUUAGUUUGUCUAAUAGCAUGCUUGUUGGAGUGAUAAUCUUCCUCUCAACCAUUUUUGGUAUGAGGUCUUGCUCCUUUUAGGAGUUAAAAUCAUGGAAGUGCACACGUUAAUUAACUCUGUGCAGUUAUACACUUUUCAUCCUCCAAUCAAGCAAGGUUACCCGCUGAACUUAAGCAUAUCAAUAAGCGGA
rnacentral:rRNA from 1 species